UGCUGCACUCCUCCUUAACUCACACACACACAAAAAUCAUUACUUCCUCCCUCGCCCUGUAAGUGUAUACUCGUCAGACGUCAUGACACGUCAUCAGAAGUGUCCACUUCAUUUGAGGGCUGAGGGGAUAGGGUGUGUCUUUUAAGUGUUUGGACUUCAGCCACACAGAACUGCCCGAUCGUUUUUUCCAUCAUGGCUCCAUCCGCAGACAGGCUGGGAUACUGGGGGCGGCCAACCUCAACGCUAGAUUGGUGUGAGGAUAAUUAUGUCGUCUCUUUCUACAUCGCAGAAUUCUGGAACACUGUCAGCAACCUCAUUAUGAUCCUGCCUCCCAUCUACGGUGCCAUCCAGACGUAUAAAGACGGCCUAGAGUUCCGCUACGUCUACUCCUUUCUGGGACUGGCAGCUGUUGGCAUUGGUUCCUGGUGCUUCCAUAUGACGUUGCAAUAUGAGAUGCAGUUGCUGGAUGAGCUGCCAAUGAUCUACAGCACCUGUGUCUUUGUCUACUGUCUAUAUGAAUGCUUCAAGCAAGAAAACACUCUGAGUUUAUUUCCUAUCACAUUGUUAUUGUUCUUCAGUGUCUCAGUCAGUGUGGUGUAUUUACAAUGGAAAGAGCCAGUAUUUCACCAGGUCAUGUAUGGUGCGCUUGUAGCCUGCUUGGUGACGCGUUCUGUCUUUAUAGUUACAUGGGUCUACCCCUGGCUCAAACCUAUGUGUUACAUCUCCCUGAGUGUCUUCCUGCUGGGGUUCCUGUUGUGGAACAUUGAUAAUCUGGCAUGUGACUCACUCAGAUCCACCAGACAGAGACUGCCCCCUGUUGUUGGGGCGGUGACACAGUUCCAUGCCUGGUGGCACAUCCUCACAGGUCUGGGCUCCUACCUACACAUACUCUUCAGCCUCCAGAUACGGUCAAUCUACCUCAAGCACAGACCAAAAGUAAAGGUCGAUCCCCAGACAAAGAACCAGGGCGACCCCUGAGAGGACCAUCAGAUGCUGACCUGGAGUUUGCGGAGAGGUGAUCUUGUGAUUGACUGGGCUGUACUGGAGCGGGUCGAGAGUUUCAAGCUCCUUUGUGUCCACAUCCCUAAACAAACGAUCAUGGUCCAAACACACCAAGACAGGAGUGAAGAGUGCAUGACAACACCUUUUCCCCGCCAGGAGACUGAAAAGAUUUGGCAUGGGUCCCCAGCUGCACCAUUGAGAGCAUCCUGAUCGGUUGCAUCAGCGCCAGGAAUGGAAACUGCUUGACAUCCGACCAAUGGGGAGUUUCAGAGCUACGAGUGAGAAGCGCUACAGGUGAGAACAGCAACCCUGAGCUACAGGUGAGAGUUCUGAUUCUGAAUGAUCCAUCUACUUCUUCAAGGGGAAUGUUAAGUAGAAAUAUGACCCCAAACAUGUCACUGCCACAGGGCCUGCCAAUGGGUUGUAGGAGUGUACAGGACAAUUUAACAACAACACACUGAAGAGGGGAGAUAGCAAAGUCAUCUUCUGCUCAAAAUCUCACGCUCUCCCUUAACCCCAGAGACGGUUGUCCAAAUUAGGGAAGACUCAAUAGAGGAACCGAGUCAGAUGCAUGAAAGAGAUGUGACAUUUUGAUCUGGAAACAACCACAACAAGUUGGUUUACAUCAUUACAUAGACUCUGCAAUGCCUUAUUACAGAAUCCCACAACUUUUAGCGAUGAAACAUUCUGUAAGCAGGAUAGCUAUUGAAAUGCUUGGUUGAAUUGACAGUAUGCUGUCCGCUCAGGGAAGUGAAGAAAGGUGUUGCAUGGUUAUUUGAUGUGACACAACCUGAUAAUGAUGAAAUUAUAUAAUAAAUCAAGUGUAAUGCUAUAAAAAGUCUAAUCAGGGUUAAACCAGAUUACAAAAAGUCUAAUAAAAAGUCUAAAAGCCCAGGAACUACUGUCUAGCAUUGUUACACUUACUGCCUAAUGAUUACUGUGCAUUUCCUCUGAUAUAAAACAUUUAUAAACUAUACAAUUAUUAUAUAUUGAGUGUGAAAUGGUCUGUCAAUAUAUGAAACAAUAAUUCCAAUCUUGCGGGAAGCCUUCAUCUAAUGGAAGUAGCCUCCGGAAGUGUUUUGCUCUCAUGAAGUUCACACAAAGCUACGGGAUUGCUUGCUUGUGUCUGUGUCAUUCAUAGCACUAGAACCCCCCCCAUCGAUAUUGAUUUAAAAAAUACAUAAAUGUAUAUCUGUUCUAUAAACAGUGGCACUUGUCUCACCAGGAGCAUUUGUUUUUGUUUUGUUUUUUUGGAAAUGAGCAGCCAGUGUCAUGGUUAAAAAAAGUCUUAGUACAUACUGCUGUUCUAUCACACAUGCAAUGAUGUCUGUGUGAAAAAAAGCAUUGUUUGAAGUAACAUAUUGUAACAACAAUGUUAUUGUAAUAUUGCAAACGGAUGUGUCAGUUUCACCACUAUGGAUUACAGUUGAAGGUUGACUAAUGCUAUUGACUAUCGCAAUUACCUGAGACCAUUGAGUCAUACAGUACAGUAUGUGGGAAGGAUAGUUCCUCUUGUUGCCCCAUGUUGGAAGAUUGCAGAGGCUGACUGAAACAUAAGGAGUAUAUCUUCACAGCUGGAUUGUGUACCAGGUAACAAUGAAUGAAAUCCAACAGUGUUAAAAUUACCUGGGGUGUUGACAGCCUAAGUGUCAAUGUAACUGCAUUAUUUCAUAGUUAUGCUCCUGUAAGUCAGUUGAACUGCUCUAGACUAUUUGAAUCCUUAUUUAAAUGAUUCACUGCAUGUUUCUUUGCUGUAGGUAGUUGGCAGCAUAACCCAUAGUGACAAGGCUGAUGAGUAAAGGUUGGCAUGCUACUAAUUGAGAGUAGGCUACUAUGAAUCUGUGGGGUUGCCCUGGCGAUGCCAACUUAGCGUGACUCUGUCUGUCUGACUGUCCUCAGCACUGCUCAUUUAAAACCAUUACCUUCACUUUAUAAAUUCCAUGGUCAUAAUCAGUUGUUCAGUUCAUUAUCGAUGUGUCUAUGUAAAUUAAAAUAAUGUAUCUAUUACACACAUAUUACACUAGAGGCCCAGAGGCUGGAGAAGAGGACCAGUCGCCGGAAGGUUUGAAUCCCAGGCCGGGCAUUAAAAAUGAACUGACAACCAGAAUGCACCUGGUAUUAGAUCUCCUCCUUAACCUCUUUAACCCAACCAUAGUGCCAGAGGCGCUGCACUGCAGCUGACCCUGUGCUACUCCCAAAGUAUGGUAUUUUUCCACUUCUGAUGGACUAUAGUGCUACAGGUGGACAUUUCUUGAUUGAUGGGCAUCAUGGGUCGUUGCACUACAGUAGUUUGGGGCCGGUGUCUGUGAAAUGGGACAGCAGCCAACUAGCCAACUCCAUGGGCUGCAUCGGUUUCCUCUCUCUUUCUUUUUAAUAACCAAAUAUUACAUUGACUUUUGUUUUGAUAAAUAAAUUUCAUAUCACUCUUUUACACUUGACUUAAUAUGAUGGAAAUAAUCAUUCCCUCCUAUACAUGCAAUAACAAGUUUUUCUGAGAGAGUGGUACAUUCUACGAUACUAAGUACACAAAGUGUUUUUCGCAAUAACUUAGUAAUUUAGAAUGUGAAAUACACAAUAGAUUGAUGUCAGCAAGUAAGACAAAUAUAAAUCAAUAUACCAAUUAUUUAGAGGAUAUGACUAUUGAUAACACAUUUAUUUUAAGCUUGUUGAGCUUUAUUUCUGUGUCUGAAUACAGUUUUGUGGGUAUUUUUGUCUUCCAAUUUAUAGUACAUUACAGUACAUUGUGAAAAGUAAUUACGAUUAAGGCAGUGUUUUUGUCUGUAAUAAUGUAUUUGGUGUCUGUCAUCACCUUGAUUUCCUUCC